rnacentral:rRNA from 1 species
GACGAACCGUGCGAACGUUGUUCGGAAUCACUGGGCUUAAAGGGUGCGUAGGCGGGCGCGUCAGUCAGGGGUGAAAUCCCACGGCCCAACCGUGGAAGUGCCUCUGAUACUGCGCGCCUGGAGGGGGAUAGGGGCGUGCGGAACUUCCGGUGGAGCGGUAAAAUGCGUAGAUAUCGGAAGGAACACCGGUGGCGAAAGCGGCGCGCUGGAUCCCUACUGACGCUGAGGCACGAAAGCCAGGGGAGCAAACGGG